CUUUGUUUCAAAGCAACAAUGGUCAUAUCAAACAUAGGGGAUGGUAGGAGGGAGGGCAUGUUCAGUGAACAGACCUGCCUGCAGAACUUGUGGAUUUCUGGAAGGUUCUGCCGUAUGUGGAAGAUUAGAGCGGAAGCUCACAGAAAGGUUUUUAAAGCUCACUUUCAGGGCGGACCACAUAAAGGAAGUCAGAAAUGAAAAGCAGUUUGAAAUGUGCAUCACAGCUCUGUUCGCUGGAAGUAAGUCAUUCAUUCCUCUGGGCCUCUGUUUCCUCAUUUGUACGAGGUAAGCCUUGUAUCUGAUGUACACCAAGGUCCUUUCUGCCCUGGCAUCUUGGGUUAGGCAGUGGUCCAGCCAAAGAAUGCUUUACUUGAUGGAUUUCUCUCUCUCCUCUCUACUCAAAUCUCCAGGGCCUGCUACACUAAUAAUUGGAAGACAGAGUCUCUAUUCUGGAUUUUCUGCCUGUCAGUGCAUUACAUGGGAUGAGUCUCAACUCUUUGAAACCUCAGUUUCCCGUAAAAGAAACCAAAGUUAAUGACGUACCCAAAAGAAGACUCACAGAGCUGAUGAAUGUGAAAGCCACUUGAAAAGCGUGGAUUCUUCCCGAUUACUGUUGCUGUUCUAUUAAAUCGUGUCCUUGUGCUUCGAUGUGAAUAUCACUAGUAGUGACAGUAACGACUGUAGCUCAGAUUCAAGCACUGUUCGCAUUAACUGCCUGUGACUGCGGCUAACGUGCCCAUCGCGGGGAUGAACUUGCGCUGCGCCUGAUGAGUUUCAGCACCAGAUUUUGUUCUGCUAAACUUGGGGUUUUGCUCCGAGGGGAGAAUUGCAGUGCCGGCCUUCGGGCCGUGCCAGGAAAAUGUGCGGGCCAGAUGGCAAUCCAAGUUGGUCUGAUAGAACAGUUCUAUUUCUGUGGAGUCUCAAAAAUGAACUGACAGGCACGAAGCACUGCGGCGACUCAGAGUCUGAGGUCCCUGACUUAGAGCUUCUGAGCUGAAAUCUUCUAUUGUCCUGUGAAACCUUUUAGGGGAUGGGACAACUGGAACCUUCUAUCCCCAUCGUCACCAUUGUCAUCACAGCCACUCUUCCUCAAGCACCUACUGUGUGCCUGGACCCCUUCUGGGGUCUGUUACAAUAGACUGUCGUCAUCUCUGUAACAGCCCCAUGACACAUUUAUCCAUAUUGUCAUGCCUUAGAUGAGGACACUGUGGGUCCAGGAGACUGAGCAACUUGCUCAUAUUCACAAGGAUGCUGAAGGGUGGGGCUGAGAUCUGAAUUCAAGACGUCUACAUUACUUCUUCUCCAUGACAAUUCCUCUCCAGCAGAACGUAUCCUAAAGUUUGUAAUCCUCCUGAGGGCUGCAACAACUGUGCAUGUGUGUGUACACGUGUGUGUGUGUGUGUGCCCCUAUGCACACGUGUAUGUAGAUAUUUUAAUUCCACUCCGCAGAAGGAAUACAGCCCUGGCCUGGCAUAGAACGUUCAUUGGAGAAAUGCUUCCUGGCUUCAGUUUCCAACAAGUCUGAAAGUUGUCCUGGAGCCCUGCUUUUCGCCUUCGUACGUGCAUCAAAUAUCAAUGCUGGUCCCAAAGUCUCAGAAAAUAAACGCAGAUGCAGGAGCUUGAGCAGACCCGACACUGGCAGACGAGGGUUAGAAUCUAGACCUUCUGGCGCCCAGGCCAGAGGUCCCCACACCGCGCCCUAGGAAUGCGGAAACCCGUUUGUUCUUAGUCACUGUUUCUCCUUAAUCUCCCACUGCUGACGAAUGAAGGGUGAUUUAAUGAAAGGAAGGUACACUGACAUAUUUCAGGUGUCUUUGUCGUUAUUGUUAGGAACACAUGGGAAAUAGCAGAAUUCUGAGUUUCUCAAGCUGUGUUUGCACAUGAGGUUGAGCUGCGGCGAGGAUCCCUCCCAUAACCACAGUCCAUGUGGACUUGGGGACUUCGUACGGGGUUCAGUCUGUGGUGUCAUCCAACCCCCAGCCUCAGAGGAGACAUCACCCUAGGCCAUCAGAACAGAUGGUGGCAUGGACACAGUCAUUUUGGUAGUGAGAGAGUAAAGUAUUGUUUUGGACCACAUUCUUAAAAGAGACUGACAUUUUUAGACAUGCACUGGAUUUUCCUUACCAAAUGAACAUCCCAUUUAAAAAAAAUUAUCAAAUUAAUAGCAUAACAAGUUUCAAGGGGAGGUUUAUUGGAGUCAAAUAUUUAAAAAGCUGUCAUUUAAACAGAAAUAGUUGUUAAAUUGAGGAGAUAAUUAGGUACCUGAAAUUAAUCAAAGUAUGUUUUUAAAAAUAAAACCUAUAUUUGACUCAUUGCAAA